UAAUACGGAGGGUGCGAGCGUUAUCCGGAUUUACUGGGUUUAAAGGGUGCGUAGGUGGGCUUAUAAGUCAGUGGUGAAAUCUCCGAGCUUAACUUGGAAACUGCCGUUGAUACUAUAGGUCUUGAAUUAUCUGGAGGUAAGCGGAAUAUGUCAUGUAGCGGUGAAAUGCUUAGAUAUGACAUAGAACACCAAUUGCGAAGGCAGCUUACUACAUAUAAAUUGACGCUGAGGCACGAAAGCGUGGGGAUCAAACAGGAUUAGAUACCCUGGUAGUCCACGCCCUAAACUAUGGAUACUCGACAUACGCGAUAUACAGUGUGUGUCUGAGCGAAAGCAUUAAGUAUCCCACCUGGGAAGUACGACCGCAAGGUUGAAACUCAAAUGAAUUGACGG
rnacentral:rRNA from 1 species